AAAAAAAAAAAAAAAAAAGUGAGAUCCUGGAGGAGAAAGUCCCCUUUUCUGUUCAUCUCUUCCUAGUUAGGAUGUGAUCAUGUGGGACGUGAUGUCUUGAGCCACAGCAGGCACUGGGGCCCAUGAAGAAAGAGAAGUGAAGAGAUGCCUACCUAGAGCGCAGGGAGCCUGCCCUGGAACACUGGAAUGGCCCCACGUUAGACUUCAUGUUAUAAGAUUUAAUUAAUAUUUUUACUGUUGCAGUCAUAGAAGAUGGCCUAAUUGGGGCAAGAGGAAACAUAGGAAUGAACCUGAGACAGGGGAGAAAAUGGAGAGAGGAGGGAUGAGAGCUGGAAGGGGGUCAGAAACACCCAAGCACGGGGUUCAGAUGCACAGCAGGCUCCCUAAGUGUGAGUUGCUGUUUCUGCAAACAGGAGUUGUUCCCUGAGCACCUACUCUCUACCAGGUACAUUUCCAAGCCCUGGGUGUCCAUCAAGUCCUUUAAUCCUCCCAGCAGUGCCAGGGAGGCUUCAUCUGCUCCCCACAUCUCUGCUUCCCCCGCCCCAUGUUCAGAUUCUAAAAAACCAAAAGGGCUCCCUCUAAUUCAUCUCGCCCCCAGAGAGCACUGACUCCCCACGGUGUCCCACUGAGCCCCACUGAGUCCAGUCCACCUCAACUUUCCUGCCUCUGGGAACAGGGUACCCACCCUCUGAGGGCCCCACUUCCCAAAGUUCUUUGUCCUGGCACAGCAGGUGCUGAGUAGCUCCCUGGACCUCUGUUUCCGCAUCUGUAAAAAGCCACUAAUCCUAAUUGCACCUCCUAGGCUGAUUGUGAUGACCCAGGAAGGACCCUUGACCCAGUGUCUGGCCUGUAGUAGGGCUCGCACAAAGGGCUCAAAUGGAAAGCAGCUGCAGAGACAGAGAAUCCGAUUGUGAAGGCACCCGAGACUCCAGGCAGGCGGAAGAGGCAGCGUCUUGGGUGCUGGGCUGGGUAACAGAGGCCAGGGUAUUGACCAGAAACUCCAACAAGCAGGGGACAGCUUGGGGGGUGGGGGGUUGUCUCCCACCCCUUCUUCAGGGUGCUGGCCUAGGAGACAGGGACCCCGCCUCGGGCAUCUCCUGCUUAACCUCAGUUUCUGUGUCCAGACAUGGGCAGGCCAUCCUGACUCUCUUAGCCUUGGUUUCCAUCUCCAAAAUGUGUCCAGUAGUGGCACCUUCCUUCUAGGGAGGGGUUGUGUGGUUAAGGUCUCGGGGCGGGCUCCUCAGUCAAACAGGCUUGGCUUUGAUCCUGCCUCUGCCUCUCACUAACUGUGUGACCUGGAGUAAGCCACCUCCCCUCCCUGUGCCUUGAUUUUCCCAUCUGUGAAAUGGAAACAAUAAUAGAACUAAUCUGCUGGGGAGAUGAACUGAGAAGACUCAGCCUGGUGCCUGGAGCAGAGUAAAGACUAAUGAUUAUUGUUGUCUUUCUUUUUGGAGGCAGAGUCUCACUGUGUUGCCCAGCCUGGAGUGCAGUGGCAGUGGCGCGAUCUCGGCUCACUACAAGCUCCACCUCCCAGGUUCAAUCAUUGACCCUCCAGCCUCAGCCUCCCGAGAAGCUAGGACUAUAGGCUCACACCACCAGGCCCAGCUAAUUUUUUGUAUUUUUAGUAGAGACCAGGUUUCACCAUGUUGACCAGGCUGGUCUUGAACUCCUGGCCUGAAGUGAUCUGCCUGCCUUAGCCUCCCAAAUUGCUGGGAUUCCAGGUGUGAGUCACCGCGUCCAGGCAUCUUUCUUAUUAUUAUUAUCCCAGGAGCUCCACCUGCUAAGGCCCCAGCCUCAGAAAGCCUCCCUUCCCCUGAGUGCUGGUUCAUCUCAACAAUUUCCUCACAUAUUUCUUGAGCAGCAACUAUACCGGUCUUGGCAAAGCCAAGGUUCUAUCUAGGAGAAGAAAGACAUUAAAUGAAGGACCCGUGUGUGAAGGGCUUGGUGAGUAGCAGGGGCUCAUUGACACUGUUCACCAGCACCUGCCCCCUCAGCUGCUCUGUGCUGGACUCUUUCUGGGCUCUGGGGACACAGUCUUCAGGGGAGUCCCAAUCAGAGGGUCUGGGUGGAGGUGAGAAGCUGGUGUGUGGAUGAGGCAGUUUCUCACACUGUGGCAAGGUCUGUGAUGGAGGAAGUCCAGGUGACUUUGGGAGCUAGAGGUCAGGAUGGGCUUCCUGGAGGAAGUGGUUAGGAAUGAAAAUAACAUCUAUUCAGCAUUAUUAUUAUGAUGUGUCAGGCACUGUUCUCUCCUCAACACCCCGCUCCAGAAGGUUUUCUUCUCACACACCCAUUCUACAGGUGAGUCUGGGAUCAAAGAGGCCCAGUAGGGUGUCAGAGGUCACGUAGCCAAGACAUGGCAGAGCUGAGAUGAAACCCCGCAGUGGGACACUGCCCCACUUGCCCCCCGACAGCGCUCUCCAGCCUCCAGGCCUUUGCUCCAGCUCUUCCUUCUGCCCAGACAUUCCAGACCCUGCACCGUCUCAUAUCCACUCUGCUGGAGGAAUGAAGAGAACAGCCCUUGGAGGCCGCAAAGUGUCCUCAAGCCUCAGUUUUCCCAUCUAUGAAAUGGGGAUAGCAUGGGGCUUUCCUCUCGGGCUGCAGAAAGGAUCGAGAAAAGGCUUAUUAUUCACCUAGGGCCUAGCCCUUGGGAACCAGUCCGGAAGGACAGCUGUUAUUAUUGCUAAUGCUGUUCCUAUCACAGUGACAGCGUGUCCCGUUAGGCCUGCAAACCCCUAUACCUCAGUUUUUCCUGUAAUGAAACCUGCCUGCUGAGGCCUCGGUGAGGGCUCAUUUAAUGAUAAUCUUUAGGGAAAAAAAAUACACCCCCCAAGCCGCCUGUGUGGCUGCAGCCCACAGGGGUAACCUGACGCCCCUCGCCUGACCUGGCCCCCAGGUCUUUGUGUGAGUCCUGCCCAGAUUACUGUAUUUGUCCAAACCCAAAGCCAAGGCUGGCAUGAGCUCAAUGCUCUGCAUUGUGCCAGAGCCAGGCCCCCCAGGCCUCAUCCCUCCUCCCGCUGGGGAUCCGGCCCCCAGGAGGUGUCACAGGGGAAAUCGGAAACCCAGCAGGGCCCACUGGGGUGGCCUCCUGGGUGCCAGGCCCUAGGCUUACGCUCCUUGCGUGUUGCCUCAUCAAUCCUUCAUGACCUCACUGUGCAGAAAGGCACAUGCUGUGCCCAUUUUCCAGAUGGAGAGAAUGAGGCCCGGGUAGCCAAAUUGUUGCUACAGUUCAUGCCGGUGGAAGUGGCAGAGCUCAGGUCAGGCUGAAGGAGGACCUGUCCCCAGAAGAGGAACCUGGGAACCCUGGAUCUUCAGCUGGAGCCAGGCAUCUUGGGGAGCAGAGAUGAAGGAAAGCCGAACCAUGUGGCAGGGGGCACCAUGGCUAAGGAUUCCGCCCUGAGUUCAAGUCCAGCUCUGCCACACGCCCUGCACAGAAACCUACUCCUCUCUGAACUUUGCUUUCCUGAACGAAAAAAAUGGGGGAGCAGCUGAGCACGGCAGCUCACGCCUGUAAUCCCAGCACUUUGGGAGGCCGAGGUGGGAAGAUCACUUGAGGUCAGGAGUUUGAGACCAGCCUGACCAACAUGGUGAAACGCUGUCUCUGCUAAAAAGACAAAAUUAGCCAGGCGUGGUGGUGGGCACCUGUAAUCGUAGCUACUCAGGAGGCUGAGGCAGGAGAAUCACUUGAACCUGGGAGGCGGAGGUUGCAGCGAACCCAGAUCGCGACACUGCACUCCAGCAUGGGCAACAGAGCGGGACUCCAUCUAAAAAAUAAGUAAAUAAAUAAAAAGUAACAAUAACAAUAAAUAAAUAAGGGAACAAUAGCUUUUCCUCAGGGGCUGGGAGAGGACUCAGGCCAUAAGGUAGGUGAAACACUUAGCAGGUAGUAAGUGCUCAAUCUACAGGAGCUUAAAAACCCAACCGCAUCCUCCAUGGGGAAGAAUCUGUCUCCUGCCUGCGGGUCUGAGAUUCCAAAACACUGAGGAAAUUUGGCUCCAAUGGGACCUGGUAUUUGGGGAGGGAGUUAAAAAGGAGGGGUGGGGAGCAGUUUUUGGAGAUCACUCUCUCCUAGGAGUUCCCUCCCCUCUUCCCAACUUCAGUUUCUCCAUCUGACCAGGCUCCUGCCCAGCCCCUCCUAGAGAGACUAGUUUCGGGGCUGAUUUUGUUGUUUGCUGUUUUUUUCACAUCUGCACAUACAAUCACUCAGUCUAGUGUGUCUCACAUGCCCGCAUGGAGCCACUGUGUGUGCACUGUUGUGGUUUUUCAUUUUUACUUUUCUGCAAAAGCCUUCUUUUUUUCCCUUGGUGACCAUUGAGAAUGGAUUCUUACCUAUUUUUCUGUAAGAAUGAAAAUCCCAUACAGACUGUCUGCCCGGACAAAGGGUUUCUUUAUCUGUCAUUCCUUUUACAAAUCAGAAUCACAUUGGGCAUCCUUUUCUGCAUCUUGUAUUUUUCACUCAAGAAUACCCACACAAGGCCAGGAGCGGUGGCCCAUACCUGUAAUCCCAGCAUUUUGGGAGGCUGAGGUGGGCGGAUCACUUGUGGCCAGAAGCUUGAGACCAGCCUGGCCAACAUGGUGAAACCCAGUCCUCUACCAAAAAUACAAAAAUUAGCUGGGCAUGGUGUCGCACGUCUGUAAUCCCAGCUAUUCAGGAGGCUGAGGCACAGGAAUCGCUUGAACCCGGGAGGCAGAGGUUGCAGUGAGCCGAGAUCAUGCCACUGCACUCCAGCCUGGGUGACAGAGCGAGACAGUCUCUCAAAAAAAAAAAAAAAAAAAUAUAUAUAUAUAUACACACACAUACACACACACACACACACACACACACACGAAACAAGCCCUUGUAUACCAAUUACCAUAGCAGCACUAGUCACAGUAGCCAAAAGGUGGAAACAACCCAACUGUCCAUCAGUCGAUGAAUAGAUAUGCAAAAUGUGAUCUAGCCAUACAACAGUAUUUGAUCAUUUUUUAAAAAUGAAGUACUGGUGGGGCGCAGUGGCUCACGCCCGUAAUCCCAGUACUUUGGGAGGUCAGGGCAGGUGAUCACCCGAGGUCAGGAGUUCGAGACCAGCCUGGCCAACAUGGUGAAACCCCGUCUCUACUAAAAAUACAAAAAUUAGCUAGACGUGGUGGCACAUGCCUGUAAUCCCAGCUACUCGGGAGGCUGAGGCAGGAGAAUCACUUGAACCCGGGAGAUGGAGGUUGCAGUGAGCUGAGAUCAUCCCACUGCACUCCAGCCUGGGCGACAGAGUGAGACUCCAUCUCAAAAAAAUUAAAAUUAAAAAUUAAAAAAAAAUGAAGUACUGAUGCAUGCCACAACGUGGAAGAACCUCAAAAACAUUAGGCUAAUUGAAAGAAGUUAGACACAAAAGGUCAUAUAUUGUAUGAUACUGUUUAUAUGAAGUCUCCAGUAUAGAUAAACCCAUAGAGACAGAAAGAAGACUGACGGUUGCCAGGAACUGGGGGGAGGCAGGAAUGAGGAGUGACUGUUUAAUGGGUACAUGGUCUCCUUUGGGUGAUUGAAAAUGUUUUGGGGCCUAGCACAGUGACUCAUGCCUGUAAUCCCAGCACUUUGGGAGGCCGAGGCAGGCAGAUCACUUGAGCCCAGGAGUUUGAGACCAGCCUGGGCAGCAUGACAAAACCGCACCUCUACAAAAAAUACAAAAAAUUAGCUGGGCGUGGCAGCAUGUGCAUUUAGUCCCAGCUAUCUAGGAGGCUGAGGUGGGAGGAUCACCUGAGCCUGGGGAGGUUGAGGCUGCCCUAAGCUGAGAUCACACCACUGUACUCCAG
rnacentral:lncRNA from 10 species